UGUUUUUUACUUUGCUUUGCCUACAAGAGAGUCACCGAAUUUUCAUUAUUGGAUGCAAACAAAAAAGUUUUGUCAGUAUGAAUCUGGUGAUGGUCCUAUGGAAUGUUCUUGCCAAAUUAAGAUUCAAGCUUAGAACAUGACCCAUUGAUGAAAUUUCGAGAUUGUUUCCAAUUGAUUACCCCACGGUUCUUGCUCGGAUCAGCCCAUAUAAUGAAGCAGCCAAUGUUUCAGCAAGCUUGCACAGCAGCCUUUAAUGGUUGUGAUGAUGAAAGCAAGGGUUACAUCACAAAGCAACAUGAGAUGUCAUCCAUUCUGCAAUGCCGAGCAUGAAUGACGAUAAUGGAAGUAUGCAGAGAAGCAACUGCUCCUAUAUUCCACAAUCCCUAUUUGCGUUCUGAAACAAUUGUUCAUGGAUGCAGGUAUCUGAGCUAUUCAACUUGUUUGACAGUGACAAUGACGGUGCUAUUAGUUCCGACGAUUUCAUGGCCUGCCUAAGAAGGAACCCACUGCUUGUUGUGCUCUUUGCUUCUAAUUCGAUGCAUCGUGGCUUGAUAAAAGGUGGAAAGCUAGUGAUUGCAUGAUGAUUAUAUGGGCAUAUUAGAGUCCCUAUGAAAUGCUCAAUGAUUGGCUUUUAAUUCAACGUUGUGUGACUUACAAUAGGUGGGAAACUAGAGGUUGUAUGAUGAACAUAUGGGAAUAUGAUUAAAUGAAAUGAUCGAUGUUUGGCUUAUCUUGAAAUGAAAGUCUUGUAACAAGGCUAUUGCUUUUGAUAA